GAUGCCAGUAGGGCUAAUCACCAUGGAAGCGUCCAUAAUGCUGACAUGGUGGGGCGGGUCUAGUAGGAUUUCUAGGUAGGGCAGGAGUAGGGGCAACACGAGGUCUUUUAUCAGGACGAUUGUUGCCAAGGUCAGACAACCUUUUCCUUUACUAUUGUGGCUGAUGCUGCUAUUGUUGGGUAUGGAUUCGAGUGAUGCAUUAGUGUCGGGCUGAGAUGAUGUCUUCGACCAACUGAGCAUGUUCAAGCAUCUCCGAAUGUGAGAUGGGCUUUAGCAUCACUACUCGA
rnacentral:lncRNA from 1 species